CUCCUGGAAACGGGUGGUAAUGCCGGAUGUUCCACAUGAGCGCAUGCGAGUGUGGGAAAGGCUUUUUGCGGCAUGGGAUGGGGUCGCGUCCUAUCAGCUUGUUGGUGGGGUAACGGCCUACCAAGGCGUUGACGGGUAGCCGGCCUGAGAGGGCGACCGGCCACAUUGGGACUGAGAUACGGCCCAGACUCCUACGGGAGGCAGCAGUGGGGAAUAUUGCACAAUGGGCGCAAGCCUGAUGCAGCGACGCCGCGUGCGGGAUGGAGGCCUUCGGGUUGUAAACCGCUUUUGUUCAAGGGCAAGGCACGGUUUCGGCCGUGUUGAGUGGAUUGUUCGAAUAAGCACCGGCUAACUACGUGCCAGCAGCCGCGGUAAUACGUAGGGUGCAAGCGUUAUCCGGAUUUAUUGGGCGUAAAGGGCUCGUAGGCGGUUCGCCGCGUCCGGUGUGAAAGUCCAUCGCUUAACGGUGGAUCCGCGCCGGGUACGGGCGGGCUUGAGUGCGGUAGGGGAGACUGGAAUUCCCGGUGUAACGGUGGAAUGUGUAGAUAUCGGGAAGAACACC
rnacentral:rRNA from 1 species